UGGCGGCGUGCUUACACAUGCAAGUCGAACGGUGACGGAGAGCUUGCUCUUCUGAUCAGUGGCGAACGGGUGAGUAACACGUGAGCAACCUACCCUUGACUCUGGGAUAACAGUUGGAAACAGCUGCUAAUACCGGAUAUGACCUCGCUGGGCAUCCAGUGAGGUGGAAAGCUCCGACGGUCAAGGAUGGGCUCGCGGCCUAUCAGCUUGUUGGUGGGGUAAUGGCCUACCAAGGCAGCGACGGGUAGCCGGCCUGAGAGGGCGACCGGCCACACUGGGACUGAGAUACGGCCCAGACUCCUACGGGAGGCAGCAGUGGGGAAUAUUGCACAAUGGGCGCAAGCCUGAUGCAGCAACGCCGCGUGCGGGAUGACGGCCUUCGGGUUGUAAACCGCUUUCAGCAGGGACGAAGGGUUUCUGACGGUACCUGCAGAAGAAGCACCGGCUAACUACGUGCCAGCAGCCGCGGUGAUACGUAGGGUGCGAGCGUUGUCCGGAAUUAUUGGGCGUAAAGAGCUCGUAGGCGGUCUGUUGCGUCGGAAGUGAAAACUCAGGGCUUAACCCUGAGCCUGCUUUCGAUACGGGCAGACUAGAGGAAGGUAGGGGAGAACGGAAUUCCUGGUGGAGCGGUGGAAUGCGCAGAUAUCAGGAGGAACACCGGUGGCGAAGGCGGUUCUCUGGACCUUUCCUGACGCUGAGGAGCGAAAGCGUGGGGAGCAAACAGGCUUAGAUACCCUGGUAGUCCACGCCGUAAACGGUGGGCACUAGGUGUGGGGGACAUUCCACGUUCUCCGUGCCGUAGCUAACGCAUUAAGUGCCCCGCCUGGGGAGUACGGCCGCAAGGCUAAAACUCAAAGGAAUUGACGGGGGCCCGCACAAGCGGCGGAGCAUGCGGAUUAAUUCGAUGCAACGCGAAGAACCUUACCUGGGUUUGACAUAUGCCGGAAACAUCUGGAGACAGGUGCCCCGCAAGGUCGGUAUACAGGUGGUGCAUGGCUGUCGUCAGCUCGUGUCGUGAGAUGUUGGGUUAAGUCCCGCAACGAGCGCAACCCUCGUUCUAUGUUGCCAGCGGUUCGGCCGGGGACUCAUAGAAGACUGCCGGGGUCAACUCGGAGGAAGG
rnacentral:rRNA from 1 species